AAGAUUUUAGUUUAUAAAAAAUAAUUAAUUUGCUAUUAAAAGAAAAAUUCUUUUUAAAUCUUA
rnacentral:tRNA from 1 species